rnacentral:rRNA from 1 species
AGCCGCAAUUAGUGCUAAGGUAGCAUAAUCAUUUGUCCUUUAAAUAAGGACUAGAACAAAAGAUUUAACAUUUCAAUAACUUUCUUCAAUUAAAAAAAUUCAACUUAACUAACAUGUAAUAAGGCAUUUAUUUUAAGAAAAGACGAUAAGACCCUAUUGAACUUAACUUAAGUUAAACUGGGGCAGUAAGUUAAUUAAAAAUUUUAAUUAUAUUAUAAUCAACAUAAUCUAUUAUAAUUAAUUAAUCAGUUACCAUAGGGAUAACAGUGCAAUUAUCAUUUAAAGCCCUUAUUUAAAAGAUAGAUUUCAACCUCGAUGUUGAAUUAAUAACCUAUUUAAAGCAAUAUUUAAAUAUAGGAGGUCUGUUCGACCUUUAAAAAAUUACGUGAUUUGAGUUCAGACCGGUGUAAGCCAGGUCGGCUUCUAUCUUUCAAAAAUUUUUUUACAGUACGAAAGGACCCAAAAAUCUAUAUUAACUAUAUCAUAUUGGCAGAUUAAUGCAUUAGAAUUAGAAUCUAAUAAUAAUACUAAUA